rnacentral:lncRNA from 1 species
CAUCGUUUUCGGAAUGUGUACAGCCACUGCUGCAAGGAAAAGCUAGUUCGGGAAGCCAACAUAGAAGGCUGUGUCGCCAGCUUCGAGCGGAAAUUGCUCUAUUUUUAGAUGAAAAUCAGAUUAUUACGAGCUGCAACACAGCAGAAUGCCGCUGGCAGUAUGAUGCGCUCGGUGAGGCACUUUCUAAAAAGUACCCACGGUUCAUGUGGGAGGAUCCAAAACCAGGCAGCCGUCUUCAGCAGACACGAAGCCAUGUCUAUAGUGUGUUCAUACGAAGGCUAUCAAUUGCACG